rnacentral:lncRNA from 1 species
AUGAGGAGCCGGCCGGAGUACUAUCCCAGCUAUAAAAGCUGCGGCGCGGUGGCGACGGCUGAGGGAGCUGAGCGGCGGGGGCUGGGACGCCAGGCAUCCAGCCGUCCAGCCGACCGUCUGUCCGGCUGCUUCUACCAGCUCAGGCUCCUGUCGCUUGUCCCAGCCCCUCUCCAGAGACACUGCAGAAGCAGUAGGAGGAGGAUUUAUUCAGGUCCGGCCCGGGCAGCGCGCCGGCACCUUGGCUCUAGACUGCUUACUGCCCGGGCCACCCUCAGUAACAGUCUCCAGUCACGGCCACCGACGCCUGGCCCCCGCCCCUGGACACCCGGACACUCCUGGAAGCCCCGCAGACUCCCGCCGCCCCCUUCAAUAUUUCUGCCCCAAAACAUCUUCUGGGCUCCCUCGCCAGCCCCGUGCUGCAAAUUUUGCUCCCUACGGUGUCCCUGAAUGUAACCUCGGACGAUGCCCAAGGCCCCAGACGAUGCAGAGGAGUCCCAAGCGGUGGGCUAGGGUGGGGGGCAGGCAAUGGAAAAAGCUCUGCCUUCCCAGCGGGGUCCCUAGGCUCUGGGCAGUCCUCCUGCCCCGAGGGCCCAUCUUUGGAGCUGUCCGUGGUGCUGAUCCCAGCGGACUGCUGCUCCUGUAAUCAGCCCGAGCCUCUUCUGCGUUCGGCACCCCGGGGCUGCAGUGCUGCGACUGAGCCCCCAGCCAAGGUUCGAGUGCAGGCCAACAGGUCGUAGGGGGUGUAGGCAGACCCCGCGGGAAAUGCCGCAGUCCACUCCCUGGCUGCGGCCCCGGACAUCCGGGACUACAAGACCCCAGCCUGGAAAAUUUCAUGGGGGAAGCAGGGCAUUUAUGGCACGAAGUAUCCCGACCAAACCUUUUUGGGGCCGGGGCUGCUCCACUGAGCGGCCCCUGGAACUGCGCCAACCUUCUCCUCUUCUCCAACAUUCCCCUUUCCCCCUCCUCACCCCCCACAACCUAGCCUUAGCCCUCCCCUACCCCCCC